rnacentral:rRNA from 1 species
UACGUAGGGUGCGAGCGUUAAUCGGAAUUACUGGGCGUAAAGCGUGCGCAGGCGGCUUUGCAAGACAGAUGUGAAAUCCCCGGGCUUAACCUGGGAACUGCAUUUGUGACUGCAUGGCUGGAGUGCGGCAGAGGGGGAUGGAAUUCCGCGUGUAGCAGUGAAAUGCGUAGAUAUCAGGAGGAAUACCGAUGGCGAAGGCAGGUCUCUGGGCUGACACUGACGCUCAUGCACGAAAGCGUGGGGAGCAAACAGG